GACGAACGCUGGCGGCGUGCUUAACACAUGCAAGUCGAACGGAAAGGCCCUGCUUUUGUGGGGUGCUUGAGUGGCGAACGGGUGAGUAACACGUGAGUAACCUGCCCUUGACUUUGGGAUAACUUCAGGAAACUGGGGCUAAUACCGGAUAGGAGCUCCUGCUGCAUGGUGGGGGUUGGAAAGUUUCGGCGGUUGGGGAUGGACUCGCGGCUUAUCAGCUUGUUGGUGGGGUAGUGGCUUACCAAGGCUUUGACGGGUAGCCGGCCUGAGAGGGUGACCGGCCACAUUGGGACUGAGGUACGGCCCAGACUCCUACGGGAGGCAGCAGUGGGGAAUAUUGCACAAUGGGCGGAAGCCUGAUGCAGCAACGCCGCGUGCGGGAUGACGGCCUUCGGGUUGUAAACCGCUUUCGCCUGUGACGAAGCGUGAGUGACGGUAAUGGGUAAAGAAGCACCGGCUAACUACGUG
rnacentral:rRNA from 1 species